GCACUUGGGACCUUGUGCUUGCGAGGCAGGAGGCGGAACCCCUGAGCUAAAUCCCCGGCUGAAGAAAAAACUCGCAUUACCCAGCCAGUACCACAAAGAUAGAAAAUAUCCCAUGAGGGAAGAAUGCCCUGUGAACUCUACUGCUCAUCUAAGUGCUGAAUAAACAGACAUCAUUUCCUAAACCUCAGAUGGAACCCUUGUAAAAGGAGAAAACUGCCAUGGGUUGAAAGCUUUCCUUCGCUAUGACCUUCCUCCAUGACAUGCCUGCCUUGAAGCUUGCCGAUCGUGGACUGAACAUCUGGAAAUCUCAAACGAAAUAAACUUCUCCUCCUUUGUGUACUUCAGGUAUUUUGUUCCAACAAUGGAAAGUUGACCAAUAUAAUGAAUGUUUAUGAAGUACAAAGCAAGGCCUUAGUAAACAUCAACUCUGCUAGGCCUUAACUUCGGACUUUCCACCCUCCAGAACUAUGAGAAAUAAAAUUCUGUUGUUAUAA